rnacentral:lncRNA from 1 species
UGGUGAGGCUCUGAUGUGCCAGCCUGUGGGAGGCGCCGCUGACCGGUCCCCGUGCUGCUGCCCCCCGCGCCGGCUCCCAGGUCCUCGGGGCGGUGGGCAGGCGUGCAGGGAGAAAGGGGGCAUUGACAUGUGUCUGCUGGAUGUCUCCCUCACUUAGGCGCUUUGAUUUUGAAGCUGCCAUCUAGGAGAGGUGGCGGUCCCUUUUUCUGGUUAGGGCGACUGAAGCUCGGAGGAGCAGCGCCACCAGCGGGCACAUUCAUGCCCGCACCAGCCCUCAGCCCCAGCCGUCAGUAGGCAGCCACUCUGCCCCGUGGCCUUGGGCCCCUGCCUGUUCCUUUGUGUGCUAGUUCCUUCUUGCUUUUUGACUCUGGUCCUUAUUAUAGGGGCUGCCGCCCACUGGUACCUUCGCAAGAGGAAGCCUGCAGCAUUGAGCACCCCUCUGCUCUCUGUCCCCGUGGCAGGUGCUGUGGAGCCCAUGUUUCCACAGGACUUCACCAGGGGACUCCACAGGUCCUCUACGGGUCUCAGCCCUACCGACUCUCACUUUGGAACAAAACACCAGCCCUUUUAUAGCUGAUAAAGAAUAAAGUUGUUAAUCAUCUCGAAUGACCGAUCCUGACCCUUUUGUAUGUACAGCUAGCAUUUGUGGCGUCUAGUUCGGUUAGGACCCCUGUUCUGGCUUAUUGGCCUCCCUGGCACAGAAUAAGGGAACGGGACCAUGCGAUGGUGCAGGGGGAAACACAGGUUUGGGGGCAUGGGGCAUGGAGAAAAUGGGGUGAGAGCUGUGCCUUGAGGGGUCAGGAGGAUUUGAACAUGUACAGACGGGCAGUCUGGCCUGGAGAGCACAACCAGGGGCACUGAGCCCUGACGGUGGUAAGUUCCAGGCACUCGUUUAGUGGUGCACCUGGGGGAUAGCUCCUUUGUUGAAAGACGUUCUAGAUGCAGAGCAGGUGUUAAGUAGGGAAAAUGGAGUGGUCACUGGGGGUGAGCCAUAGGACCAGCUCUUUCCUGGCAUAGAGGGGGGUGAGGGGUUAACUGGCCCAAGGCCUCAGGGCUGGAUUUACACUGCACCUGGUACCCUCUCCUCUGGCAGUUUAUCCCUAACCCUUACCCUUCUGAC